rnacentral:lncRNA from 1 species
AAAAGUUCACUGGCUGAACUGGAAUCAUGAAGUUCUGCCCCUUGCAAAUUCUUUAUUGGGUAAGAUGCAAGAUUAGCUACAGACUGUACACCCAUUCCGUUCGCCAUAGCCUCUAUAUUGAUCUCAGUUUUGUGCAAUACAGGGUUAACAUAGCCUGCUGUUGUUGAUAAAGAGCCAACCCAGGAUAAACAAUAACCUCUUGAGGCCCCAAACCACAAUCCACAAGAAUCCACCGACCUCGAUAAUCUCCAUUGCAUGAUAAUGUGGCAUUGCGGAGAACAAGUGAUGUGCCACGUGAGUGUCUGUAAUAUUGUGGAAGACCUUGUUUAGGAUUCCGUAAUUCCUGUCCACAGUUGCUAAAGCUCCUCUCAACCAGUCCCACUCCGAGGAAUCGUAAUGUGGCAACGCAGGGUGAGUAUGCUACAAAACUGUGAUCAACACCAAGAAUCCAUUGACUACGAGCAGUGGAACUCCGUAA